rnacentral:lncRNA from 1 species
CUACAAUUUACAUAUAACUCUAUAAACACAAUAACAGUGGUAGUGGGUGGUGUAACGGUCAAACAGGACCAAAAAGCCACUAACAUGCAAUGAACCACUACACACUGCGCUAAGUAAAGGUAUUAAUAGAAAAUCCAAAGCAAAAGUCCGUUGGAAUAGCAAAAAGUCCUUACAACUAAAAGUUAGUAAUAUUCCCUAAAUGAACUUGGCUGAAGUGAAAUACACGAAAGAACAACAACGGUUACCAAAAAAUAAGUAUUUCAUGUAGCAAAAAAAAUAAUAAUUAUAUAAUGAGUUAUAUAAAUGAGUUGGUCAGUGACUCUUUAUAUCAUAUUUAAACAAACAAACCUACCAGACAUAUUCCCUAUUUAAAAUCCGCGGCAAAAUGUUACCCCCGAUUCCCUAUCAAAUUUUAAGCUGCAAUUAUUAUUAAAAAAGACCUGAUUUUAUUUAUUUAAACAAACUACUAAUUAUAUUGAACCAAAAAAA